AUGGUCCGGGCAGCUUUUAUAUUCAAUAAGCUUCGAAAUCUGCCGUUAAUGUCGGUACUUUGGUCAAAAUGGUCGAGCAUGCUGCAGAUUACGUUCAUUUUAAUUAAACAUGACGCUAGCGUAUUUAGUUCGGUUCCAAAAAAAACGUGGCAUCGCAACCAAAACAGUUUCAGUUAAGCUCUGAAGAAGCCAACAGGAUGAUUGGCCAAAUGUUAGCCAGUAUGUUUUGUAAACAACGGAUGCAAGAGGAAUGCAGAAGAUUUGUAAACAGUUUUACAGUAACCUGUGAAAGUUUCUUUUAAAAUUUUAUCCAGAGUGGUUCAUAGGGCUCCUGAUAAAUAACACAUUUUAUUAAGAAGAAACUGUUGCAAAAUGAUAUUGGAAGGAAACAAUUAAUUUGGUAUGGACAAGUGCAAGGAAUGCCACAUACAAGACUUCCCAACCAAGCAAUGGAAUAGCAACCUAAAGAACACCGAAAAAGAGGAAUACCAAAAACCUAUUGGAAACAGAGCGUAACAAAAGCGAUGAACGCAAUAAACCUAGAAGAUGUCUAUUGGGAAGAUCAAAAGAGGUGGAGGCAAGGAGUCGGACAACAUCGAAAGACGUUCUAAACCGAUUACACUCACAUUAAGAAGGUUAUCAGGACUUCGUCAGCUGCGGGGCAGCAAGACUACGUCCUCAAGCGUUCCCCUCCAGGACCGAUCGGGCAAUGUUCGCUGCACCUAAGAGUGCCGACUUCUGCAUCAUACGAUAAGUAUUGCGAUUUAGACCCAGUCUAAUUAUGUUUGUUUUCAAGUCCGUCGGUAUAACAUCCAUGCUGGAUAUGAUCAAUGGGACAACCUCAACUCUCUCCAUGUGCCACAGUUCUUUAAUUUCCCAUUUCAGAUCGUCAUAUUUUUGGAUCUUCUCAGCCUUCUUAGAGUCGAUUUUGUGUGUUUUGGGGAUCGAUAUAUCAACAAAAUAAGCGGUAUUUAUGUCCUUAUCAAUAACUGUCAAGUCUGGUCGAUUAUGCCUGAUUUCCUUGUCUGUGAUUAUGACUUUGUCCCAGUAAAUCUUCGCUUUGUUAUUCUCGAUGACUGGUGGUGGUUGGAGUCAGAAAUAUGGCUUUUUAUCUUCAAGGUUUAUGUCGUAUUUCUUCGCCAAUUCGAGGUGCAUAAUGUUUACAACAUUGUUGUGCCUCUCUACAUAUUUUGUGUCGGCUCAUUUGGGGCAUCCCGAAAGGAUGUGUUCAAUCGUUUCCGAGUGUUCUUGGCACUUUCUGCAUUUGUCACAUGCGAUGUUUUCUUUCAUGAUGUACUUUCGAUAGUUCUGAGUGCUGACAACCUGGUCUUGUAUCGCUACAACAAACCCUUCUGUUUCUGGCAUUAAAUAGCCGUUCCUCAGCCUUUUAAGGGAAGCAUCUUUGUCGACAGUGUUUCGGUUUAUCACGUUAGUAUCGGUCAUGCAGUUCUUUGUUGGCUCACGUUUUAAUUUUUUCCGGAGUCGUAUCUGGUUUUCCUAACUUAAUUUCUCCACUAAGAUUUACCGGUGUAAACGCUUGGUCUGCCUUCGUGACCACUUGAUGAAGGUGGUCCGUUUUCUGCUGGAAGUAUUUGCGCAGGUUUCGAAUUUGUUGGUAGCACGUGUUGAGUACGUCGGCUAAACCUCUUCCUUCUUCGUGCCUAGGUAGAGUAGUUCUUUCCAUCGAUGAUUUUUUGUGGUGUUCUCGGAACUUUAAGAUUGUCGUGUGCACUAAUCGGUUCAGAUUUUCCAAGUCAGCUUUGACUUUGGUGAUGUUAAUUUAAUUUAGCUCUGUUUUAAGGAGUACAUUUACCCUUUGCUUGAAUUUAUCGAUAAGGAUAUUUUUGAUUUCAGCAUGUUCUAUCUUGUUUGAUUGUAGCAUUCCCAGCUAUUUGUAGGGCUGGUUAUCCAUUGCAUUUAUAGUGACAUCCUCAUUCAGAGAGAGAGGGGCUUCCGAUGUGAGUUUUCCUCUUGCUAUUAUUACCGUCUGGCAUUUACUCAGUCCGAGCGUCAUACCUAUGUCAUUUGUGCACUAAUUUUAGAACUUUUUCUAAGUGAUUUUUGGUUGAUCCAUAUAUUUUCAGGUCGUCCAUGUAGAGGAGAUGGUUCGGCAUAUGUGCCAUCCAUUUUUCCAAUUUGCUACCCUUCCAAUAACUCUUCCAAUGUUCUCUGUUGUGACCUUGAUUUUUGUCAUUUUUAAGCCUGCAAACGCGUCUUUCUGGUUUUUAAUCCAUAUUAUUUUUAAUUUUAAUUUUAUUUUUAAUCUAUAUUAUUAUUAUUAUAAUUUUUAUUAUUAUUAAGAUUUGUUCAACCGAAAUGCCAUAAUUAUUUUUGUUUUUCAGGAAAGUUAACAAAAUGAAAAUUAAGGUUUGUCUUGUUUUCAUUUAGACACGUUAACAAGGUUGCCAAAUUCCGGAACCUCACGUUUAAUAAGUUCAAAUAAAAAAAAAACUGUUUCAGCGGAGUGUCUACUAAUGCUACAAAGGGUUCAUAUUCACACGAGCAUUGCUAAUCUUCAUUAAAUCAAGUGUUAACAAAAUUUCACCACCAUUAGUUUAAUACGUUCAAAUAUGAAACAAAAAACUAUUUAUUCUAGAAACCGAGGUACAAAUCAAUUCAAACCCAAAAAAUUAUCCAAUCCUUCCAAAUUCCAAAUUUGGUUAGUUUUGGUUAAUAUCCAUCGAAUCGAUUAACUUCCCAUUCAUUCUAGAUUAGUUUGCAUUAGUUACAUCACUUUGUAUAAAAUUUCGAUCAAAAUAAUACUACCGUGUCCUUGUUAAUCACAAAUGAAAUCUGAUUGAUUCACAAACACUGUUAUUUGUUGUGCCUUCACAAACUUUUAUUUGUAACUAUUCAAUAGGAUCGUGCUGAAUUUAUAUAAUGAUAGUUAGGAAUCAACAACUCUGUAAGUAAACUAAUAAAGACAAAAGAUUAUGAUAUUCGUUCUUCCACCGAGGCUUUAAAGAAUUUAGAGAAUUUUUUUGCACAUAUUACGAGAAAAUCAAUUUAAUCCACUACUUGUGGAUGCUGGGGAACUGUCGGUAAAAAUUGACGUGGAAAAAUCUUUGGAAGCUACAGGUAGGCAUAAAAGCCUUCGUCGAAAAAGAAAUAUUGAUUAUAGAUAAAAAAAAAAGUGUAAAAUAGAAUUUCAGUGUCUUAGUCUAGAUACAACCCCAAAUGCUUUGAAGUAAAGAUUUCACAUUCUAGAAGAUAAUAGCCUAUUACAAAAAACUUAACCGACCAAGAUGAUAGUAGUAACUCUAGUAAUUUUGCACACGGUGGAAAAAUACUCGAGCUAGCCCUGAAUGACUUAGAUACUUGUGAUAAAUGUGCUUUGGUUGUAAAUCUGUUUAGUGCCUUUUUUUGUCAUCCAACCCAAGCUAACGUUUUGGCACCUUAUUACUAAUUACUUACUUACUACUUACUACUUACUAAUCGGUGAAGUACAAACCAUGUUUGUACCAGAUAAACGAACUAAAUUGGUUUUACAGAUUACAUAACCAUCACUUUUUAACGCUCAGACGAAAUCAUUUUGUUUUUUAACGAAUGUACAAAAAAUACCGGCACUGACGUCACGACGUGCACAUGGUGGGCAGUCUAUUGAUUUUUGUAUAACCCGAAAAAGAGUGGAACUUCCUAAUUUACUGUAAUUUACUUGUAUAUAUGUUUCUAAUGCCUUGAUUAUUGUUGUGGAUUGUCCAGUCUUACAGCUAAACGUUAUAAUGACAGCGUAUAAUAUACGUUUAAAAAUAUUCAAAAUAGGUCGUAGAAUAAAAUCAAAGAGCGAUAAAACAUUUUCCAUGGCUACGUGUAGGAACAAAGACUAAUGGGCCAUUGUGGCGCACAAAUUAUCAACUCUAUUAAUAUCAGCUUUAAAACUGAUUACCGUUUUCCCGGACAGCUUGAUGGAUAUUGUUUUGGAAUGGUUUUUAGAAAAACUUUCAGUACGAACGAAACAAAUAAACUUAAUGUAACAAUUUUCUAAUCCCUGGCACUUGUUUGGUCAAUUUGUCGUGAACUGCCAGAAAACAAACAGAUUAAAAACUGUUUGCAUACAAGAAAAGUAAUCGCCCUCUAUCUGUAAAACAAGUUUUGGGGAAAACCUUUUAUGUAACAACUAACUUAAAAACAGUCAUUCAAAAGAGUUUUCAAAAUCAAUAUCAGGAAUAGAACUUUUUCCUAGGGUACAGAAACUAAAACUGUUCACUAAUAAUGACGUAAAUUCUGGUUUCAAAUUGGUUUCAAAUUGUUGAAGCAAACUUGUCAAAGUGCGAGAAAAAUAAACAAUGCUCUUAAUUUAAUCAAUUAAAGCAUACAUGGAAUAUAUUCCACACUGAAGACAUUGAGCAUUUUUACUAAACUGAAUCCUAAUUGCACAACACAUUAUUAAUAUGACCAUUAGAAAAAUGGUUAAAAUUAUGAUUAAUAAGCAUAAAUUUUCCUCUAUUAUGGGUCAAACCUACGAUAGCCAAAGAAAUUGCCACAAGACGCAAAAUGUGCACACACAGAAAUUACUUUUUCUACUCCCUUUUGCAAGAAACCUAAUUAUACACCGAUCUAAUGUGCGAGAAGCGUCACUUUAGCAAGUGAGUUUCUUGUCCCACGGAUCUGGGCCACAUUUUCAGGGUAUUACCGUAAUCAGAUGUUUUCGGAGAUAUUUCCCACGCUUUGAAUUUUUGACGUUUGUCAAUUUUGACUUUCAUGUCAGUGAAUGUACUCGUGUCGUUUUGCUAAAAUGUACCCAAAAACUAGCGGUUGUAGAAAAAGUAUAGUAUGCAACACCUUCGGUAAACUUUUAAGUCAUUCGUUUAUUAAACACUAGCUUCGCUCGUGACAAAUAAACUCGUGAGUCAAAUGCCGUUUACCGCACUUGUUGCAUAAUAUACUAAUAUCAAUCCUAAAAACAAAUAACUAUAUUCCUUAUUGAAAUAGUAGCAAUAGGAGGCAUGAUAACAUACUAAGAAUUUUUUCAUUAUAACUAAUAUAUUUCUAUAUUAAAAUGUACAUUGAACAAACUUACUAAACGAUUUUUAGAUAAAUUUAAAACUCCAGAAAACAAAUAUAAUUUAGUUGUAUGACCAACAAGAUGCUGCAGUUUAACUUCACCAGCUGUAUACGAAAGUAUGAUAAAAUUUUCACUAGGGAAGCAUUUUUUCCAACUUCCAGAAAUAUAUGGUAAUUUGGAAAAAUAUAUGCAUUUACUAUUUAAGUCCAUUGCUGCAUCGAAAAAAACGUUUUCUCAAAUUAAGUUUAGUAAUAAUAUGAUAACAUGAUAACUGAAACAAAGAAUUAUAAUUAAACGGCAUCUGAGUAUCAACUAACUAAC